rnacentral:pre_miRNA from 1 species
CGUUAAAACUUUCAUCCAUUUCUACUGUUAAAAAUUGGCGUGGCUAACGAAAUAACCAAAUAGUUACAUGUGGCAUGCCAUGCAUACCUCAUGUUAAAGUAGAGGGAUUAGUUUCUAACAAUUAAAAUGGAUGGAAUUUUUAAUA